GGGGGCGUAAUGGUUUCGACGGGGAUUUUGAAGUAUGGUAAGCGAGUUGAGGAGUAUGACCUCUAUAAAACAUAACAUUUUUAAAAAUAAACGCUAACGAAAAUUUAGCUUUUGCUGCUUAAUUAAGCAGCCGUUCAACUAGGCAGUACCACGGGCUUAGAUUGGGCGUCGAUUAGUGGUGAACGACACUGACGAGUUUCUCGGCGUUUUUGUUGUAUUAGAGAAUACCAAGCAAUUCAGCCUGUUUGUCGGCGGUUUUGCAAGGGAAUGCAAAUGACAAAAUACACUCGUAGAAAGCUGUAUGGAUAGAUUUUCGGACACGGGUUCGACUCCCGUCGCCUCCACCA
rnacentral:tmRNA from 1 species